AAUUGAAUAACAUAUAUAUAUAUAUGAUUAUGUCAAAUCCCAAUCCAUCUUCAUCUACUAAUCUAAAUCCCAAUAAUUUCAACCUCGUAGCAACAGUAGAGGAUUGCACGAAGAAACCCUCCUUGCUUGUUCCGGGUAGCAAUUCACCCACCCAAAAUCUCAACUAAAGGAUGAACUUCCCAGCACAGGAACAGAAUAUUGAUUUCUCGAGUAAAACCCUUGUGUCGAGUAUGAUAAAAUUACUGCUGAACCAAAUAUUGAUUUACCUUAAUGACCAAAAAUGUACAUCCUUAACAUACUAAACGGUAGACUGAUGCACACAUUUGUAUUUUACCAGAUGAAAAAGAAAAUUAGUAGCAAGCAUACAUUCAAUGAUCCAGGCCGAGCUAUAUCCUUUGCACGAGCAGAACCUAAAAACUCACCAACUAGAGGUAACAAGUAAAGAUGAUUGUGGUUCUGCUUUGAUUUAACCUACAAUGCAAGGGUGACAACAAAGGCCCAAACCAAAAAAAUUUGCUCAUCCCUAUUCUCUUGAUUAAGACCAUCAUGCACAGAUUAGGAUGGUGAAACGCCGCAGCAAGAUUCAACAUCUCAACAUAGGUAGUACGUUUCCUUAGAGAACUCCUUGCACAGCUGGCUCGGAGAGAGAGAGAGAGAGAGA
rnacentral:misc_RNA from 1 species